rnacentral:lncRNA from 1 species
CAUGGCCAAGUCCAAGGAGCACACCAAACACAACCAGUCACAUACAAAUGGCACAGAAAUGGCAUCAAGAAACCCUGGCACUCACCUUUGAUCCCUGCACUUGGGAGGCAGAGGCAAGUGGAUUUUUGAGAUCAAGGCCAGCCUGAUCUACAGAGUGAGUUCCAGAACAUCCAGGGCUGUACAGAGAAACCCUGGUCUCAAAAAAACAAAAACCAACCAACCAAACAUAAAACCUGGUCACAAAGACAUGAAUCUCUUAAGAGGGUUGACCUUGACCCCAAGUUCCUGAGGAACACAUUGUUUUGCCAAGAAGCACAAAAAAGGCCUGAAGAAGAUGCAGGCCUACAGGGCAAAGGCAGUGGGUGCACCACAGAGGCCAUCAGGACUCUGGUGAAGCCUCAGGCCAUCAAGCCCAACAAGCUUAAAUUCCUCAGCCAUCUUGCUUUCAUCAUUCACCCCAAGCUUGAAAAGCAGAGUCACAGUUACACGGCCCGAGGC